rnacentral:rRNA from 1 species
AGCGAACGCUGGCGGCAGGCCUAACACAUGCAAGUCGAACGAACUCUUCGGAGUUAGUGGCGGACGGGUGAGUAACACGUGGGAACGUGCCUUUUGGUUCGGAAUAACUCAGGGAAACUUGUGCUAAUACCGAAUGUGCCCUUCGGGGGAAAGAUUUAUCGCCAUUAGAGCGGCCCGCGUCUGAUUAGCUAGUUGGUGAGGUAACGGCUCACCAAGGCGACGAUCAGUAGCUGGUCUGAGAGGAUGACCAGCCACACUGGGACUGAGACACGGCCCAGACUCCUACGGGAGGCAGCAGUGGGGAAUCUUGCGAAAUGGGCGAAAGGCUGACGCAGCCAUGCCGCGUGAAUGAUGAAGGUCUUAGGAUUGUAAAAUUCUUUAACCGGGGACGAUAAUGACGGUACCCGAAGAAGAAGCCCCGGCUAACUUCGUG